rnacentral:rRNA from 1 species
CAGCCGCCGCGGGAAUACCUAGGUGGCAAGCGUUGUCCGGAAUUAUUGGGCGUAAAGAGCUCGCAGGCGGUUUCUUAAGUCUGAUGUGAAAGCCCCCGGCUCAACCGGGGAGGGUCAUUGGAAACUGGGAAACUUGAGUGCAGAAGAGGAGAGUGGAAUUCCACGUGUAGCGGUGAAAUGCGUAGAGAUGUGGAGGAACACCAGUGGCGAAGGCGACUCUCUGGUCUGUAACUGACGCUGAGGAGCGAAAGCGUGGGGAGCGAACAGGAUUAGAUACCCCCGUAGUCCCUGUCUCUUAUAC